CUCAAGCAUUUUUGCUUGGUCCUGGAGGAAGAUGGUCUCUCGACUAUCCCCUCUGGAAUUCCUCAGCAGAGACCACAGCAGCCUCAGGUGUGAUAAUUCUACCUCGCUUGAGUGUUACUGUGGGCUCCCGCUGGAGAACAGCCCCCCCAGCUUUUAUCAUGUUUGACCUCGGAUCAGGUAGGGAUACCCGCUGAACUUAA
rnacentral:misc_RNA from 1 species